rnacentral:lncRNA from 1 species
GGCUCUUUUCUUGGUACAAAGGUCUUUUAGAAAUUUAGCAUAGGUUGAAACUUGUUUAAUCAUAUCUAAAAGAGAGAUAUUUACUUGGACUUGCUUAAACACUUCUAAAAUUUUAUCCAAAUAUUCUGAUUUUUUAUUGGGUCUUAGUCGAUUUGGAAAAGGAGCUUUAGGAAUUUUGGAUUUUGGGCUUGGUGUACUAUCAAUUUUAGGAGCUUGAGUUUGUAAGGUAGAUUUUUCAUAAGGUGACUCAAUUAAAUUUUCUCUAUCAUCAGAUGUACCUACCUUAUUGUCC